UACGUAGGGGGCAAGCGUUGUCCGGAAUCAUUGGGCGUAAAGCGCGUGUAGGCGGCCCGGUAAGUCCGCUGUGAAAGUCGGGGGCUCAACCCUCGAAUGCCGGUGGAUACUGUCGGGCUAGAGUGCGGGAGAGGCGAGUGGAAUUCCUGGUGUAGCGGUGAAAUGCGCAGAUAUCAGGAGGAACACCAAUUGCGAAGGCAGCUCGCUGGAACGUAACUGACGCUGAGACGCGAAAGCGUGGGGAGCAAACGGG
rnacentral:rRNA from 1 species